AAUGCCAUAAAUAAAUUGUUUAUUGAUAUAGAAAUUUGGAUGUGCAAGUUCAGGUCUUGCGUCUUGUUAUGUUAACACGUGAUCGACACAACCAUAUAAAUAUAAACCAGCGGUUUUAUGAAGAUGUUUUCGUUCUGUGUCUCUGGGUUGACCCGAAUCCAGAAUUAGCUAGGAAUGUGCGGGGUGACCCAUUUGGCGGGAGCGAUCUGCACGAACUGACACCAGUCACAAAGAAAAAGUGGAUAGCCGAAGCUUGUUUCGACUAAUGGCAAUCGGUAAAUGACCUUGUACACAUUAGUGGCCUCUAUACAAGCGGCAGAGAACUACGCCAGUCACAGCUGAGCUUUGUAAAUAUAAACACAUAAGUCUGCAGCUGGAAGAAGACCUCGACGGUCUGCUACCGUCGAAAUAUCGCAGAACAAUUUUAUGAAAUGUCAUCACUUUUAGAAGCGAUAGAUACAAAAUAUGGCAAAGAAGAGGCAGAUAAUUAUGACCCUGAUUUGCCUGUUGCAAUUUACGUGCCGAAGAAGAGCCCAAGGAACUCAAUCCCGUCACUGUUGGUGCUAAAUGAUUGUGAUAUUGAAAGUGCAGGGGAUGAACAGGAAUUGGAAGAGAAAUGUCAAGAGGUUGAGGAGCUGGACCUAGCUCAGAACAAGCUGAAAAGAUGGACUGAGGUACGUGAAAAGUGAAGGGAAAUUACAGGAAGUGAUAGCUUUGUGUGGACCCAUA